rnacentral:rRNA from 1 species
GCUUAACACAUGCAAGUCGAACGAGGCCAAUGAAAGCUUGCUUUUGAGGCCGAGUGGCAAACGGGUGAGUAACGCGUGGGCAACCUGCCCAGGGGAGGGGGACAACACCGCGAAAGCGGUGCUAAUACCCCAUGACAUCAUGGAGCCGCAUGGCUCCAUGAUGAAAGACGGUCAUGCCGUCGCCCCUGGAUGGGCCCGCGUCCGAUUAGCUGGUUGGCGGUGCAGGGGACCACCAAGGCGACGAUCGGUAGCCGGUCUGAGAGGAUGAACGGCCACAUUGGGACUGAGGCACGGCCCAGACUCCUACGGGAGGCAGCAGUGGGGAAUCUUCCGCAAUGGGCGAAAGCCUGACGGAGCAACGCCGCGUGAGCGAGAAGGCCUUAGGGUUGUAAAGCUCUGCUGUCGGGGACGAGGGCGGAGGCGAGGAAAUGCGCCUCCGUGGACGGUACCUGACAAGGAAGCCGCGGCUAACUACGUGCC